rnacentral:hammerhead_ribozyme from 1 species
UGCCGAAACGUACCGAUAUCAGGUACGUCCGCGAGCUGUGGCGGGCGCGCGCUGACGACGGCAGCCGCUG